rnacentral:rRNA from 1 species
ACUCAAAGGAAUAGACGGGGACCCGCACAAGCAGCGGAGCAUGUGGUUUAAUUCGACGCAACGCGAAGAACCUUACCUGGGCUUGACAUGUGAGUGACAACCGUGGAAACACGGCCUCCCUUCGGGGCACUUUCACAGGUGGUGCAUGGCUGUCGUCAGCUCGUGUCGUGAGAUGUUGGGUUAAGUCCCGCAACGAGCGCAACCCCCGUCGCAUGUUGCCAGCAUUUAGUUGGGGACUCAUGCGAGACUGCCGGUGACAAACCGGAGGAAGGUGGGGAUGACGUCAAGUCAUCAUGCCCCUUAUGUCCAGGGCUACACACGUGCUACAUUGGCGCGUACAGAGGGCUGCAAGACCGCGAGGUGGAGCGAAUCCCUCAAAGCGCGUCUCGGUUCGGAUUGCAGGCUGAAACUCGCCUGCAUGAAGGCGGAGUUGCUAGUAAUCGCAGAUCAGCAAUGCUGCGGUGAAUACGUUCCCGGGUCUUGCACACACCGCCCGU